UUCAAACGGUUCCUCCAAAAUUUCCUUUCCCUCGCCAAAUUUUGCUUUUCCCACACAAUAUUCCCUCUCCCAAUUUCCUCUAAAAUUUCCUUUUCCCACACAAUAUUCCCUCUCCCAAUUUCUUUAUUUUGAUCCCUCUUUCUCUUACUCGUAUUAUCCCAUUUUUUUUGUAAAACCUAACCCUACUGAGAAGAUGCAGAAGCAGUCGGAAGAAAUAUAUGGUAUCUCUUACUCCAUUCACCGACAACAUAAUUGCUGAGUACAUAUGAUAUUUCGUUCUACUCGAUCUCUGUUGGAGCAAAUUUAUUUGAACAAGAUUUGUUUGAGUUAUCUCUUUUGAUUAGAAUUGCCUUGAUCUUCCUUUACCUCAGGUCGUUUGCGAUGCGUAUACACCAGCAGGAAAUAUGAAGAAAUCAAUCCACCAAAGAGGUGAAUACAAUGUCGGUGGUGCUCAGGAGUGUAUAUAUGGCCUUUUAGACAACUUCGAACGGUAGCCAACAGUGUUAAAGAAAGAGGAGGAUUGAAUCAAGAUGGAGAUUAUACUUUAUCCAAUCCAUAUCAUCUGGUAUUGCAUCUUUCAAGAUGUAUCAUUCGUUGUUACUUUUUGGAGAACAAUGAGCCUUCUAAAGAUCUUAGUGUCUAUAUAUUUGGCUAGAUGUUUACAGCUUGGAUUUUUCUCAUCUCAAGUAUAAAAAAUGAAUAUGAGUAACCUCUGGAGGGUGCUGCUAAUGUUUUGAUAAUAAUGAUUGGUCAGCAAGCCAUAGUGGAUGCUUAUCUUUGCCUUGUACAUCUGACCGCGGGAAUAUUAGUUGGUAAGUUUCGAAAUAAGUGUCUCUGAUUUUCAUGUUUGACUAUAUUGAAUGUAAUCGCUCUCGGUGCUACUAAAAUAGAAUAAUAUAAAUAGUGUCCAUGCUUGCCUUGUACAUUUGAGGACCUGUCUUUGUUCAUGGAGUCUAUGCCACCAGAUUUUAUUGCUAUAUUGCAUGUAAAGUAAGAAACAGUGUUCAUGCUUAUUCUAUUGGGUGCUAAAAUUUCUGUUACUUCAUGUCCCUAACAUACCUUCUUCAUUUUAGUGCACUGCUAAGGUCUACCAUUAGAAAGAUGGAUGCCUCACGGCUCAUCAGAUUGCUAACUUACACCAAAUAUGCAAUAUAUGGACAUUUCCUUCCAAAAUUUGAUGGUGAAUUGUGUAAAGUGCCCGAAACAAAUGUUUGUAAGUUACCUUGUAAUUUCUUAAGUCUACAUGAAAGAUUGCCUCGAUCGUCAAGGCCUUGCAGAAUGAGUUUUGCAUCUUAUCUUUCUUCUUUUUGUGCUUCCAGAAUUUGCUGUGUAAGCUGUUUUAAGUUUCAUGUCAACGUUAAAAUAUUUUCACAUCCUAAUCAAGAUCCUUAUUGGCAAGAACUCUUUUUACUCAUAAUUGGAGCAUAUUCCUUAUUAAGAGUGUUUCUUAUUUGACUAACACUAAUGAGAGUUUUGGUUAUUCUUUGGUACAAGGAACUGUGAACCAGAACUAUGUUAUUAUUGUUGUUGUAACAUAAAAUGAAUCCUAAAAUUUAUUUAUGUUGCAGAUAACACAUUCAGAAAAGUCAGCAGCAAAGGUUGAUGGUGUAUGUACAUAUGGUCCUUGGUGUGGCAUUGGUGGAUCUGUAUUUGAUGAUGGAACCUAUAAAGGAAUUCGGUAAAUAAAUUUGUCGCGCAAUGUUGGAAUUGUAUGGAUUAGAGUUUUGUUUGAUCAUGAUGGGGAUGCUAUAUGGGGAUUCUUGACUCACUAGGAAGUAGAUUCCCGAUGCCAUAUUUUCAAGCAAUCCAUGCAGGUUAACAUUAUAUUUAAAUAGGAGUCAAUCCUCACAUCCAUCUGAAAUCGGGGCAUCCUCUGAUAAAAAGAGCAAGUUUCCGAGCAUUGAAGGCAACAAUUUAUCAUUCUAUGAGUUAAGAAUACAGUUAGAGAAAGUUGAACGGCAAUAUCAAGAGACAAUGAAAGACUUAACCUAAAGAAGAUACGAGGCCAUCAUUGAGAUUUGAGACCAGAGAGAGGUUGUCACAAAAAAACACAAUCAUAGAAUGAGCUCAUUAGUAUUUUUAAUUACCAUUUGUGUCUCUCUUGUUCAUAAUCUUGAAGUUACUAGUGUAAAUAGUGUGUUGUGGAUGAAAAGGUUCACUUUUUAGUUAUUAUGGCAUGAAUUUUUCUUUGCCAAACAUACAUUGAAAUUCUACCUGGUGUCAUGUUGUUAAGAGUUCUGACUGAUAGUUUCAAGAUGAAAUUAAUUGGGGCACGAGGCAACCCAAAUGACGAGGAGAUUGAAUCUAA